CACGUAGGGGACGAGCGUUGUCCGGAAUCAUUGGACGUAAAGCGCGCGUAGGCGGCCCGGAAAGUCGGUUGUGAAAUCCUGGGGCUCAACCCCGGAACUGCAUCCGAUACUUCCGGGCUGGAGGCAGGUAGGGGAGAUCGGAAUUCCUGGUGUAGCGGUGAAAUGCGCAGAUAUCAGGAGGAACACCGGUGGCGAAGGCGGAUCUCUGGGCCUUGCCUGACGCUGAGGCGCGAAAGCUAGGGGAGCGAACAGG
rnacentral:rRNA from 1 species